CAUCAUCCAUCCAUCCAUCAUCCAUCCAUCAUCCAUCCAUCCAUCCAUCAUCCAUCCAUCCAUCCAUCCACCCAUCCAUCCAGCCAUCAUCCAUCCAUCCGUCCAUCAUCCAUCCAUCCAUCCAUCUACCCAUCCAUCCUCCAUCCAUCCAACCAUCCAACCAUCCAUCUACCCAUCCAGCCAUCAUCCAUCCAUCCAUCCAUCCAUCAUCCAUCCAUCAUCCAUCCAUCCAACCAUCCAUCUACCCAUCCAGCCAUCAAUCAUCCAUCCAUCCAUCCAUCAUCCAUCCAUCCAUCUAUCCAUCAUCCAUCCAUCCAUCCAUCCAUCAUCCAUCCAUCCAUCCAUCCAUCCAUCCAUCCAUCCAUACCCAUCCAUCCAUCAUCCAUCCAGCCAUCAUCCAUCCAUCCAUCCAUCCAUCCAAACUCCCAUCCUCCCUCUCUCACUCCCUUCUUUCCUCUCCCUCUCCAUCUAUCUGGUCAUCCACCCAGCAUCCAUCCACCCAUCAUCCAUCCAUCCACCCAUUCAUCCACCCAAAUAUCCAUCCAUUCAAACAUCCAAUCAUCCAUCCAUCCAACCAUCUAUCCUUCCUUCCUUCCUUCCAUCACCUAUUCACCCACCCACCCAUCCUUCCAUCUAUCCAUCCAUUCCUCCCUCUUUUCCUCCCUCCCUCCCUCUCUUUCUCUACAUCCUCUGGCAAGCAUCCUUCUAGACCCUGGGGAUACAGGGUAAACCUGGUCCCUGCUCUCACCAGUGAAUGAUAGCUGCAGAUGCAGAAUAAUAUCACACAAGUAAUAAUCCCACGAGAGCUGUGAGGAGCACCAGGAAGGAAGACGCAGCAUCCUACAGGGUGUGUGACCGGGGCCUCACCUCCUGUGCAGGUCGGGAGGGCUUCUCUGAGCUGCGAGGAGUUGGGGUAACCUGGUCAAGAGAGUGGAGAAGAGCUAUCCUGGCAGGCGGAACAGAAGGUACAAAGCCUCUGAGGCAGGAAGGUCUUGGUGACUCUGGAAGGGACCUCAAGGUCGAGAUGGGCCCUCGGAGGCUUUAGAUGCCGAAGCAGUUUCGUUUGGCCGAGUCAGCUGAAGGAGCACGUGGGCCUGUAAUGGGGGGAGUGCGUGUGCUGGGGGCCGGUUCACACGCCCGGGACUCCUGUGGGCAGCACGGCUCAGCUUCCCCUGUCUGUUAAUGGUACAAUCUGUUCAGACCUUUGGAACAUUCCUCAGCUUUUAUUUAAUGUGGGAAGAAUCAUUUCUGGAAUUAGCAUAUAAAUUGGCACAAGUCAGCAACUCGGGCAGAAAGCGCGUUCCCAGGUGUCAGGCUGGACGGCGGGGACGAUGACCCAGUGCUCCAGGCUCUGGCUCCUUCCGUCUUCCUUCAAGGGGUAAAGACAUGCUCUGUUUAAAAAACUCCAGACUUUCUCCCCAGAUCUGCAACUUGGGAAAGAAUACAUGUCCCCUCCGUGCUGGCCACAAGGGGAGCGAGGGGCCUGGCCAGUGACGGGAGGCGUGGGAAUCUUUUCCAGAUUAUGACGCGCGGAGGGAAAAUUUUCCAGCAGGGAUGUCUCCCCACGGGCCUGCCUUCUAGAACGAGGUGAUGGAGAGGGAGCCCCAGAAGUGUCCGCUCCCUAGCUGUCAUGUCUGGUCUGGCCGGGGGCAGAUACUUUACACGUUUUAUGGCCCCAUUAGUUCUGGGUCUUUUGGAAAGGGGUGACCAGUUGAUCACUUAACUGUUUGCUACUUGUGGCAUUCCAAAUUCUGGCCUCAGAGAGCCCGUCCACGUGCUGAUUCCGCCUACCCGUUGGGCCAUGGCUGGGCGGGCCUGCCUUCCAGCUGCGGGCGGGGCACAUGCCCGCGAUGCCAGGGGCUCGGCCGUGGUCCCCCAGCCCCCUCGGGCGCUGGCAGAAAUGCUUCACCUCCCUUCUCGGCAUUCCGGCAGCCCGUGGACCCUCCGCCCCCGUUGUCUUCCCCAGGCUGUGGGCGUCCACCCCUGAGAAGCCGCAGACGAGCUGAUCCUUGUCGUGCUGACUUCUGCUCGUCGUGUCCUGGACAACCUCGGGGCUGGGUUUCCUCUUCUCGGUGGCUUGGCCCCCAGGCCCGGCCUGGGUCGCUGCUCUGCCUUCCUCAUGGACCAGCGUGUCUGACAUUCUCCCCCCACAAGAUUCCUGCGUGGCUUUCGGGCCUGGCUGGAGGGCUCACCUCCAGGGGACGCUGGAGGACACUGUGACCAGCCCGUUGUGGACAGACUGGAAUUCGGGGCAGCGGGGCACAUGGCCUCAGUCGGAGGAAACAGGAGUGCCUGGAAUUGGAGCGAAGGGCGUUAUGGUAUCAAUGUACCUUAUCUUGUGUAAUUGGAUGCCAGCGGGUCGCAAAGUCCCGGCUGACGCCUGUCACCCGGCGUC
ensembl:lncRNA